rnacentral:rRNA from 1 species
AACGGCCGUACCAUGCUGAAUAUACCGGUUCUCGUUAGAUCACCGAAGUUAAGCAUCAUUGGGCGCGGUCAGUACUUGGGUGGGUGACCACCUGGGAACACCU